rnacentral:tRNA from 1 species
CCCGCGGUAGCUCAGCUUGGCAGAGCUUCCGGCUGUAGACCGGGAUGUCGUCGGUGAAUUGAAGAUAGUAUCUUCGGUUCGGCGAAUUCAAAUCCGACCCGCGGGACCA